rnacentral:lncRNA from 1 species
UGUUCAACAAUUCACAUAACCUACAAUACCUUCUUCCAUAUCUAUUCUGUAAGCCUUAUCUUUGGAUUCAAAAUCUCAAAUUAAAUCUCUCAAACGAACAAACCGAUAUUGUUGGGCGACUACGAUCGUUCAACCAAUUUAUAUCUAUUCAGACUUUUUCUUUAUUCACAAAACCCACAAUCUCAUCAGCACCUCUAUAAUUUUUUCGAUCACUUGUGCUACUCCGCCACUACGCCACCUCGGGGUAUCGACUACGUUUUCUAAGUGUCCGAUUGGGUUCAGACCCACCAUUCAGCAACCGUCAUACUCCGCGACCAUCUCGUGUGAUUCUCAUUCCGUCCGAUUCAUUCCGACUCACGCCCAGGUACCGGUAAUUUACUUAUUAUCUUCUUUCGAGUCAUGCUUUGAUGCAAAUAAUCUAAUAUGGAAGUUAUUCUUUUGAUCCGGUGACGAAGUAGCCGAACGCAAACCGUGAAUCACCGUUGCCGUGCAUCUCAGCUGUGUUCCGUUUGUCUACCGCUGUUGCGACUCUAGUUUCACCCUUAUUGCUAUUUCUGUUCAGCCUCCGCAACCAUUUGCCGCCACGGACCUGUUCACUGUCGUCUCCUCGAGACUCGUUUCUGAUUAAUCGCAACCAACGACUCCCUGUCACCUGUUUAAUUCGACUUAUUAUUCAGGUUAGCAAACCAAACCGUCUUUAGAUUUGAAAAAUACUUGUGUGAAUUAUGGUUCGUUACGAAUUCUGGCGACUGCAGAUCUAAUCUUAAUCUGACGGGGGAAUGGAAUGUAUGAGGUAAUGGAAUGGACGGGGGAAUGGAAUGUAUGAGAAAAGAAUAGACGAAGUAAUAAAAUCGGUGAUGAGCGACGGUAGUCGGUGGUGAUAGGUGGCAAUGGUAGCGAUGGUCGGAGGUGGUGGCAGUAGGUGGCGGUGGUGGGUGGUGGCGAGUGACGGCGGGGGCGGAGGUGUGGAUGGUGGGUGACGGUUGGUAGCAGCGGAGGUGGGUGACGACUGGGGUUAAGGUGGGUGGUGGCGGUAAACAGCUGGGGUGGAGGUGGGUGGUGGUGGUGGCGGCGAAAGUGGGUGACGGCGGCGACGGUAGUCACGGCAGCAGCUAUGGUAGUAGUGGUGUCGCCCGUGAGUAAGUUAUUAAAACCAAUAAUAAUAAUAAUAAUAAUAAUAAUAUAUUUUCAUUCCUUGAAGGAAUGAAAAAAAAACACCACCUUACUAAGGAAUGAAAAUUGUUAUAUUUGGAAGGUUUACAUUCCUUGUGGAAUGCUCCAUUCUAUUACCACUUGACAACCAAACAUGUUUCUUUUCAUUCCAAUAGAAUGAUCCAUUCCAUUCCGCUUUCUAUUCCUUCGUACCAAACGCUACCUUAAGUUUUAUUUCAUGUCUAGUAUAGUCAUCUGUAAUAGUUUUAAUUUUGGGUAUCCUUUAACAGUUGACUUAUCUAGUCAAAAUUAAAAUAAGAGUCUAUACGCAAUGAAGCCUCAAGUCUUCUUCUGUUAGAUAAGUAAAAAACAACCAUUUUUUUUAUUACCCAUGUGAUCUCUAAAUUGAAGAAGUAUCCAU